AAGGUGAUGAAGAUACAGUCCAAUCUACACUGGUAGAGUGGACUGGACAACGGACCGUCCCAAAUGUGUUCAUAAACGGAAAGCAUAUCGAUGGAUGCAACAAUGUAACAAUGAAACACAAUGACAGGAAGCUGGUGCCAUUACUAACUGAAGCAGCUGCUAUUGCCAAUGCCUCCUCUUAGCACACUCUAGUAUGUUGGAUAUUAUGUUUAGUAUAUAGCCUAAUGACUGAGAAAAUGUGGAAAGAGAAAUAAAUGGUAGAAGUCGUAAUAGUGCUUGAAUGUGUUAUCAAGCUGCUGCUUUUA